rnacentral:misc_RNA from 1 species
UAAUAAGUGUUUUAUGGCACUUUUUAAAUCCAUAUCCACCUUGUGUGCAAUGUCAGUCGAUCUUCUUCAUGGAGAUCGACCAAACAUCAACCUUUAUUUUUAACUCUUUGUCUGAAAAAUAUUAUGAAUAAACAAUACAAAAUA